rnacentral:lncRNA from 1 species
CACCCUCGGGCUGCUGAGCAAUGCACCUGUGAAGCUGAGGUGACCAAUUCUGCUCCUGCACCUUGUAGGAUGCUGUGGUGUGUGCCCAAGAGGAAGGAGGAGCUACCUUCCAUCUCAUUACAGGCACAUUUCAGGAAUACUGGAAAGCACCUGAGCAUAAUCAGAAACUGGGAAAGGGAAUUUUACCAACCAUGAAGCCUGAUCAGCUUGCGGACAAAAAAUACAAGCAUGUGAUUUCUCUGACCAGACAUAAGACAUGAAAAUUGGAAAGGCAGCAGAAAGCUUAGGAAGAAAAUCAGCUGAAGUAUAUCCAAGCUGUAAAAC